AUUGGGUCUAAUAAUAAGGCCGUCAAUUUUGGAACUUGAACCAUCAAAUUCAUCAAAAACAUUCAAAGAUCUUAGUUUUGAUUUUCUACGUGUAUUUAAGCUUCUUGAUUCAGCAAGAACAGGAGUUAUUUCAUUUCUUUUUUCACCUCUUCCUCUUCUUCUUCGUCGGGGUCAGUAAGACAUGAAGCUCUUUGGGUGGAUGCAUAAUAAGCUACAUGGUAAACAAGCGAAUACUCAUAGACCAAGAACAUCAUCUGCUUGUUCUCAUCAAUCACGAGAAGAGUUCAGUGAUUGGCCUCACGGAUUACUUGCCAUUGGAACGUUCGGUACCUUGAUCAAAGAUCAAACCCCAAUACAUGUUGUUCAAGAAGUGAUUCAAGAAGAGAA